rnacentral:rRNA from 1 species
UACGUAGGGGGCUAGCGUUGUCCGGAAUCAUUGGGCGUAAAGAGCGUGUAGGCGGCCAGGUAGGUCUGCUGUGAAAACUCGAGGCUCAACCUCGAGACGUCGGCGGAAACCAUCUGGCUAGAGUCCGGAAGAGGAGAGUGGAAUUCCUGGUGUAGCGGUGAAAUGCGCAGAUAUCAGGAAGAACACCCGUGGCGAAGGCGGCUCUCUAGGACGGUACUGACGCUGAGACGCGAAAGCGUGGGGAGCGAACAGG